rnacentral:rRNA from 1 species
AACGAACGCUGGCGGCAUGCCUAACACAUGCAAGUCGAACGAUACCUUCGGGUCUAGUGGUGGACGGGUGCGUAACGCGUGGGAACCUGGUCUUAGGUUCGGAAUAACUCCCCGAAAGGGGUGCUAAUACCGGAUAAUGUCCUCGGACCAAAGAUUUAUCGCCUUUGGAUGGGCCGGAGUUGGAUUAGCUAGUUGGUAGGGUAAAAGCCUACCAAGGCGACGAUCCGUAGCUGGUCUGAGAGGAUGAUCAGCCACACUGGGACUGAGACACGGCCCAGACUCCUACGGGAUGCAGCAGUGGGGAAUAUUGGACAAUGGGCGAAAGCCUGAUCCAGCAAUGCCGCGUGAGUGAUGAAGGCCUUAGGGUUGUAAAGCUCUUUUACCCGGGAUGAUAAUGACAGUACCGGGAGAAUAAGCUCCGGCUAACUCCGUG